GAAGAGCUAAGCAGCUUCCCAACUCCCAUCCAAAGCUGACUUGUGGGGAGUUAAUCCUACAUAAGAAAAAUCUUGUUUCUCUCUGGCAUUUCAGAAGCAAAGCUUAUUGAUCACGAAGCAUGACAGUGGAAGAAUUUCCUGAAAAUGGAAGGAGGAGAUGGUUUCACAGCAAAGCUACUAAUCUGAAACAGUAAAAGCAACAAACAAAUGCCCACUCCCCUUAGCUGACCAGAACACAAUCCUUGUGAAAUAUGAAAACAAUUAGACAGAAGCUGCUUCCUGUGCAGGAA
rnacentral:lncRNA from 1 species